UACGUAGGGGGCGAGCGUUGUCCGGAGUUACUGGGCGUAAAGCGCACGCAGGCGGUCUGCUAAGUUUGGAGUGACAGUUGGUGGCUUAACUGCCAAAGUGCUUCGAAAACUGACAGACUUGAGGGCUUCAGAGGGACACGGAAUUCCGGGUGGAGUGGUGAAAUGCGUAGAGAUGCGGAGGAACACCGAUGGCGAAGGCAGCCCCCUGGGCUAACACUGACGCUGAGGCACGAAAGCGUGGGGAGCAAACAGG
rnacentral:rRNA from 1 species